AUUGAACGCUGGCGGCAGGCUUAACACAUGCAAGUCGAGCGAGCGGCGGACGGGUGAGUAAUGUCUGGGAAACUGCCUGAUGGAGGGGGAUAACUACUCGAAACGGUAGCUAAUACCGCAUACCAUCAGAUGUGCCCAUAUGGGAUUAGCUAGUAGGUGGGGUAAUGGCUCACCGAGGCGACGAUCCCUAGCUGGUCUGAGGGGAGGACCAGCCACACUGGAACUGAGACACGGUCCAGAGGCCUACGGGAGGCAGCAGUGGGGAAGAUUGGACAAGGGGGGAAAUCCGGAGGAAGCCAUGCAGCGUGUGGGAAGAAGGCCUGCGGGGUGUAAAGCACUUGCGGCAAGGAAGCGUUACUCGCAGAAGAAGCACCGGCUAACUCCGUGCCAGCAGCCGCGGUAAUAC
rnacentral:rRNA from 1 species